CGAUCCCUGGAGGAUUAGCCUGGCCUGGGAUAUUCCUGGGGGGGGGCCUGUUCACACGGGCACGUGUUGUUAGUUAAACUGAUCUAGUUAGACCAGUAUAAUCCCCUGUGCGCGCGCUCUUCUUGUGGACUAAAGUAGCUUUUUUUGUAUAGUUUAAAUCCCUUCCGAAACAACAUAACUCGAAUGGGAAAAAGUCUCUUCCACCAGAGGCUGGGUAUCUGCCUGAGGCUUUAUUCUGUUGUUGCUAUAUUUAGGCUUGGCGGAAUUUGAUUUUUAUUUUUUUUUUUUUAUAACUUUGACUGCGAACAAUUAUGUUUGUUUUAAACAUUUUUAAAAAAAUAUUUAAAUUGUCUGACUUCCUUUCCCUGGGACAUUAUGGCUGGUCAGACAAUAAUUACUUAAUGACAGUAGAUAUUGAGAUUCAAAAAGUAAAAGCUUUGUAACUAUUAAAACACAAAUUGUCAACAUCACAUGUCAAAACAUACUAAGUAAAUAGCCUUAAAUGAAACUAAUAAGUUCUCAAGCAGCAGUUCUCUUCCUUUGCCUACAUUUAAAUAUUUAUUUAUAGAAAUAUAUUUUUUGUUUUUAUGGCUACAGUGGAAUUCAUGUUUACCGGCAAAAAUUUAAUCCUUCCAAGCCUAACUCUAUUGAUUUCAAUUCACACCUUAUCUUACAUGGUAUGACUUUCCUAUGUAGACAAGCAAUUAGUGAAAAGCAGUAAGAAAACAUUAUUUAGGUUAAUCAAGUGUGGAUCUUUCCAGAGGGAUGGAACAAAGCUAUUUAUUAUUACUUAUUUGUGUUACAGCAGUACCUAAGGACUGAAAUCAGGGCCCCUUUGUCUAGGCGUGGUUCAAACAUACAGAAAGAGAGAGUCCCUGCUGAAGACGAAGGGUUGUGGGGAAGUGAGAUGACCUACAAGCAGAGUGAACAAUUUGAUCAUCCACAAACGUCAUUAGGAAAAAGACCUGGGUAUUACUAUGCACAUCAAAGUGAGGUGAGAAAGACUGGGACUGGCUGGGCAAGGAGCCUAGGACUGAGAUCAUAGAAGGAGCAGGAGAUAUGGGAAGAUUGAGACUGACUGGAGCAAGGACACUUGUGGGAGACUGAGAUUGAAUGAGGAGGAAUGGAAGAAACAUUUUAAGUCUUUGGCAAAAAGAAGGUGGGAAAAUUGGAACGGAAGUUAAGAGACAGGUAAGCUCUAUGGAAGCAAUGUGCACAUCCAAAUCGAUUUCUAAUCCAACUAUUUUUAAUAUACAGAUGCAACUGAAAAUCUUUGUGCGGGGGCUUAAAUCGAUAUUUGGUUUCCCAGUGAUUUUACUGUUAAUAUUAUUAUUGAACUAACAAAAUAGAUAUAACUAGUCAGAAUGAUGGGUGGUAUGUACAGCUCACUAAGGGUAUGUCUUCACUCCCCGCUGGAUCAGCGGGCAGCAAUCAAUCCAGCGGGGAUUGAUUUAUUGCGUCUAGUCUACUCCUGUAUUCCAGCACUCCAAGGCACAGGCAGAGUCGACGGGGGAGCAGCAGCAGUCGACUCACUGGUGAAGACACCAUGAUAAUAGGCCCAAUCCUGAAGACCAUUGAAUUCAGUGGCAUUACUCACAUGAGUAAAGAUUUACAUGAUUGGUUACAAACAUAGGAUUCAAUGUAUUUCAACCCAGAUAUCAAGAUGACCAACAAUUUAUUUUGUAAAAUAUUUUUGUGAGUAGUUUCCCUGUUGUCAGCUCUUGUAAUUUUUAUCAUGAGCCUCAAAAUUUUUGAUGUUUUUCUUAAAGCCAAGAUCGUGGUUUCAGAUGAUUACAAGAGAAUCUCAGCUUUCAUUUAAAAAAUACAAGCAAGAUUCUGGCUCUCAUGGCUGUGGAGAAAAGCUUGAAAAUGUGAACCCUGAGGGCUAAAAGACAAAGGAAAAGAAUGCCAAAUAUUUUUUCAAUCUUUAUUUUUACACCAACGUUAUGAUUAUUUUGGGACCUGAUUCAUGACUUUUGGACAUACGGGGUUAGCAGUAAUCUAUUUACUUUUUGUCACAGAAAUAAAAAUAAGCAUACAUCUGCUUAGAUUCUUCUUGCAUGAAGACCUAUGAAAGACCCAACAGAUGACAUGAUUAACUUUCUUUACGUCUCCUUCAUCAAUCUUUAUUUCCUCUCUUCCCACCCCCACCCCCAACCCUGUGGUUUUUCAUGGUUUUAGUCCCAAACAAGGCAUAAUACAGGUGUAUCUAAGUUUUGCCUUGAAUAUUUUUUAUACCACGAUGCAUAUGUUACUUUUUGGAUUCUAUCUAGCUAAGUGUUUGUAUCAUUUGGGGCUCUCUGGGAUGCAAACCCAUGCAGAUGGAAAUAAGCAAAGUAAAUGGAUGCUUUAAUCCACUGAAAAUCAGAAGUGUCAAUUUUACACAGAUCUAUUAUCGUAGAUGAGAGAUUUUAAGAUCAGAAGGAGUCAUUGGAUCAUCUAGUUUGAUUUCCUAUAUAUCAGUGGUUCUCAAAGCCGGUCCGCCGCUUGUUCAGGGAGAGCCCCUGGCGGGCCGGACCGGUUUGU